ACACACACACUCACACACACUCUCCUGGAUUAAAACAGCAUUAGGGAAUCAGGUGUGUGUGUGUGUGUGUGUGUGU